rnacentral:rRNA from 1 species
AGUGAACGCUGGCGGUAGGCCUAACACAUGCAAGUCGAACGGCAGCACAGUAAGAGCUUGCUCUUACGGGUGGCGAGUGGCGGACGGGUGAGGAAUACAUCGGAAUCUACUUUUUCGUGGGGGAUAACGUAGGGAAACUUACGCUAAUACCGCAUAUGACCUACGGGUGAAAGCAGGGGAUCUUCGCACCUUGCGCGAUUGAAUGAGCCGAUGUCGGAUUAGCUAGUUGGCGAGGUAAAGGCCCACCAAGGCGACGAUCCGUAGCUGGUCUGAGAGGAUGAUCAGCCACACUGGAACUGAGACACGGUCCAGACUCCUACGGGAGGCAGCAGUGGGGAAUAUUGGACAAUGGGCGCAAGCCUGAUCCAGCCAUGCCGCGUGGGUGAAGAAGGCCUUCGGGUUGUAAAGCCCUUUUGUUGGGAAAGAAAAGCAGCAGGUUAAUACCCCGCUGUUCUGACGGUACCCAAAGAAUAAGCACCGGCUAACUUCGUG